rnacentral:rRNA from 1 species
ACUCCUACGGGAGGCAGCAGUGGGGAAUAUUGCACAAUGGGCGCAAGCCUGAUGCAGCGACGCCGCGUGGGGGAUGACGGCCUUCGGGUUGUAAACCUCUUUCAGUAGGGACGAAGCGCGAGUGACGGUACCUACAGAAGAAGCACCGGCCAACUACGUGCCAGCAGCCGCGGUAAUA